AUUGAACGCUGGCGGAAUGCUUUACACAUGCAAGUCGAACGGCAGCACGGACUUCGGUCUGGUGGCGAGUGGCGAACGGGUGAGUAAUGUAUCGGAACGUGCCCAGUCGUGGGGGAUAACGUAGUGAAAAUUACGCUAAUACCGCAUACGAUCUAUGGAUGAAAGCGGGGGAUCGCAAGACCUCGCGCGAUUGGAGCGGCCGAUAUCAGAUUAGGUAGUUGGUGGGGUAAAGGCCCACCAAGCCAACGAUCUGUAGCUGGUCUGAGAGGACGACCAGUCACACUGGAACGGAGACACGGUCCAGACUCCUACGGGAGGCAGCAGUGGGGAAUUUUGGACAAUGGGCGAAAGCCUGAUCCAGCCAUUCCGCGUGCAGGAUGAAGGCCCUCGGGUUGUAAACUGCUUUUGUACAGAACGAAAAGGUUUCUACUAAUACUAGGAGCUCAUGACGGUACUGUAAGAAUAAGCACCGGCUACUCUGUGCCAGCCGCCGCAGUAA
rnacentral:rRNA from 1 species